rnacentral:rRNA from 1 species
GAGUUUGAACCUGGCUCAGGAUGAACGCUGGCGGCGUGCCUAACACAUGCAAGUCGAACGGACUUAUUUUGGAAACUCUUUCGGGAGCGGAAUUCAUAAGUUAGUGGCGGACGGGUGAGUAACGCGUGAGCAAUCUGCCCUUAGGUGGGGGAUAACAGCCGGAAACGGCUGCUAAUACCGCAUAACGCAGUGAGAUCGCAUGAUUUUGCUGCCAAAGAUUUAUUGCCUUUGGAUGAGCUCGCGUCUGAUUAGCUAGUUGGUGGGGUAACGGCCUACCAAGGCGACGAUCAGUAGCCGGACUGAGAGGUUGAACGGCCACAUUGGGACUGAGAUACGGCCCAGACUCCUACGGGAGGCAGCAGUCGGGAAUAUUGCGCAAUGGAGGAAACUCUGACGCAGUGACGCCGCGUAUAGGAGGAAGGUUUUCGGAUUGUAAACUAUUGUCAUCAGGGAAGAUAAAAGACAGUACCUGAGGAGGAAGCUCCGGCUAACUAUGUGCCAGCAGCCGCGGUAAUACAUAGGGAGCAAGC